CAUCAAUUGCAAUUGAGGCUGCACC
rnacentral:misc_RNA from 1 species